UACGUAGGGGGCGAGCGUUAUCCGGAUUCAUUGGGCGUAAAGCGCGCGUAGGCGGUCAUGUAAGCGGGACCUCUAAUCUUGGGGCUCAACCUCAAGCCGGGUUCCGAACUACAUGACUCGAGUGUGGUAGGGGAGAUCGGAAUUCCCGGUGUAGCGGUGGAAUGCGCAGAUAUCGGGAAGAACACCGAUGGCGAAGGCAGAUCUCUGGGCCAUAACUGACGCUGAGGCGCGAAAGCUAGGGGAGCAAACAG
rnacentral:rRNA from 1 species